rnacentral:rRNA from 1 species
GACGAACGCUGGCGGCGUGCCUAAUACAUGCAAGUGGGACGCAAGGACACACACUGUGCUUGCACACCGUGUUUUCUUGAGUCGCGAACGGGUGAGUAACGCGUAGGUAACCUGCCUAUUAGCGGGGGAUAACUAUUGAAAACGAUAGCUAAUACCGCAUAAUAUUAAUUAUUGCAUGAUAAUUGAUUGAAAGAUGCAAGCGCAUCACUAGUAGAUGGACCUGCGUUGUAUUAGCUAGUUGGUAAGGUAAGAGCUUACCAAGGCGACGAUACAUAGCCGACCUGAGAGGGUGAUCGGCCACACUGGGACUGAGACACGGCCCAGACUCCUACGGGAGGCAGCAGUAGGGAAUCUUCGGCAAUGGACGAAAGUCUGACCGAGCAACGCCGCGUGAGUGAAGAAGGUUGUCGGAUCGUAAAGCUCUGUUGUAAGUCAAGAACGUGUGUGAGAGUGGAAAGUUCACACAGUGACGGUAGCUUACCAGAAAGGGACGGCUAACUACGUG